rnacentral:rRNA from 1 species
UACGUAGGGUGCGAGCGUUGUCCGGAAUUACUGGGCGUAAAGCGUGCGUAGACGGUUAUUUAAGUCGGGUGUGAAAUCCCCGGGCUCAACCUGGGAACUGCAUCUGUGACUGCAUUGCUGGAGUGCGGCAGAGGGGGAUGGAAUUCCGCGUGUAGCAGUGAAAUGCGUAGAUAUGCGGAGGAACACCGAUGGCGAAGGCAAUCCCCUGGGCCUGCACUGACGCUCAUGCACGAAAGCGUGGGGAGCAAACAGG